rnacentral:rRNA from 1 species
UGGGGAAUAUUGGACAAUGGGGGCAACCCUGAUCCAGCCAUGCCGCGUGCGUGAAGAAGGCCUUAGGGUUGUAAAGCGCUUUCACUGGUGAAGAUGAUGACGGUAGCCAGAGAAGAAGCCCCGGCUAACUCCGUGCCAGCAGCCGCGGUAAUACGGAGGGGGCAAGCGUUGUUCGGAAUUACUGGGCGUAAAGGGCGCGUAGGCGGAAUAUCAAGUUAGGGGUGAAAGGCCUGGGCUCAACCUAGGAACGGCCUCUAAAACUGAUAAUCUAGAGUCCGGAAGAGGAUGGCGGAAUUCCUAGUGUAGAGGUGAAAUUCGUAGAUAUUAGGAAGAACACCGGUGGCGAAGGCGGCCAUCUGGUCCGGUACUGACGCUGAGGCGCGAAAGCGUGGGGAGCAAACAGGAUUAGAUACCCCCGUAGUCC